CGCCGCGCGGGUGUAGGCGGUGGCCGCACGGCGCUCCCGCAGCGCUGUGGGUUUGCCGGACCGCGGCGCCGGCCGGGCCCCGCUUUUUGAAGGGUUAACGCGUGGCCUGGGGCCGCUUCCCUCAGCAGCGAGUCCCCAAGUUACGUAAAGCCGCCCGGCGGAGCUCCGGGGCGGGCCGCCCACGAGCCGCGGCCGUUUUACCGAGCGCUGCCCUCGGCGCGGGGCGCGACCGGAAUCACCGCCUGAGGAACGCGCGAGCGGAGCUGCGUUCGUACUGUGUUGUCGCUCUGUCGUGGGUGCUCUGAUCCGUUCCCGUGCCCUUACGUCUCGAAGAUCUUUUGAUUUGUUGCAAACCUUCAAC
rnacentral:lncRNA from 1 species